rnacentral:rRNA from 1 species
CCUACGGGUGGCAGCAGUGGGGAAUAUUGGACAAUGGGGGGAACCCUGAUCCAGCGACGCCGCGUGAGUGAAGAAGUAUUUCGGUAUGUAAAGCUCUAUUAGCAGGGAAGAAAAUGACGGUACCUGACUAAGAAGCCCCGGCGAACUACGUGCCAGCAGCCGCGGUAAUACGUAGGGGGCAAGCGUUAUCCGGAUGUACUGGGUGUAAAGGGGGCGCAGGCGGCAAUGCAAGCUAGGAGUGAAAGCCCGGGGCCCAACCCGGGGACUGCCCUUGGAACUGCAUGGCGGGAGUGAAGGAGGGGCAGGCGGAAUUCCGAGUGUAGCGGUGAAAUGCGUAGAUAUUAGGAGGAACACCGGUGGCGAAGGCGGCCUGCUGGACCGUGACUGACGUUGAGGCCCGAAGGCGUGGGGAGCAAACAGGAUUAGAUACCCUUGUAGUC